UGGAGGAGUUAGAUGACUCAUUCAUUCCAGAAAUAGUUUUGAGCAUUUGCUCUGCAUCAGACCCGGUGCCACGUACCAUGGGUGCAAAGGGGAGCAGCAUAGGUAAGAUCUGUGCCUUCCGAAGAGGGUAGAGUCUUCUGGAGGGACAUUACAAAUAAUCAGGCACUCCCAGUGCUGGGAGCUAAGUUCUGUUACAGGGAAGAGAAAGAAACAAUGGGAAUACCAAGGAGGAUAUUUACAGAGGGGGAAGGCUUUGAGCUGAAAUUGAACGGUGAAUAAAGGCUGAGCAGCCAUGUAGAGACGGGGUUCCACCGUGUUAGCCAGGAUGGUCUCGAUUUCCUGACCUCGUCAUCCUCCCGCCUUGGCCUCCCAAAGUGCUGGGAUUACAGGCUUGAGCCACCGCGCCCCGCUCUUUCGUGUUCCAAAGGCUUUUUAAAUAAACUUCCACUCCUGUCCUGGAUUCUGCUUUAUGGCCCUCAGUCGAAUUCUUUCUUCUGAGGAGGCAAGGACUGAAGUUGCUUCUGACCAGUACAGGAGAAAACGAAUACAGCAGGGAUGACUUCCACCAGCUCCACUUUGCAGCUCUGAGGUGUAUUAAAAAUGACCUGGAAGAAGUCAUGCCACGGGCCAGACCUUAACAUUCCUUUCGGCUUACCCCAGGAUUUCAGACAAAGCUUCACUUUCCUAACCAGUCACAAAUCAGAGAAUUUUUGAUUCCACCUAUGACCUGUGAGCUCCUGCUUCAAGAUAUUCCACCUUUUUUAGGCCAAACCAAUGUAUAACCUCCAAGUGUCGAUUUACACUUUCGACUGUAACUUCUGCUUUCCUGAGAUUUACCCCUGCCUUUAAAAACCCUUGCUUGUAAUCCCUCAGGGAGGCCGUGUAUUUAUUAAUCAUGAGCUGCCCAAUUCUCCUUGCUUGGUGCCCUGCAAAUAAACACCCUCUUUUCUCCCA
rnacentral:lncRNA from 1 species